rnacentral:rRNA from 1 species
ACUCCUACGGGAGGCAGCAGUAGGGAAUCUUCCGCAAUGGGCGAAAGCCUGACGGAGCAACGCCGCGUGAGUGAUGAAGGGUUUCGGCUCGUAAAACUCUGUUAUUAGGGAAGAACAAACGUGUAAGUAACUGUGCACGUCUUGACGGUACCUAAUCAGAAAGCCACGGCUAACUACGUGCCAGCAGCCGCGGUAAUACGUAGGUGGCAAGCGUUAUCCGGAAUUAUUGGGCGUAAAGCGCGCGUAGGCGGUUUCUUAAGUCUGAUGUGAAAGCCCACGGCUCAACCGUGGAGGGUCAUUGGAAACUGGGAGACUUGAGUGCAGAAGAGGAAAGUGGAAUUCCAUGUGUAGCGGUGAAAUGCGCAGAGAUAUGGAGGAACACCAGUGGCGAAGGCGACUUUCUGGUCUGUAACUGACGCUGAUGUGCGAAAGCGUGGGGAUCAAACAGGAUUAGAUACCCUGGUAGUCCACGCCGUAAACGAUGAGUGCUAAGUGUUAGGGGGUUUCCGCCCCUUAGUGCUGCAGCUAACGCAUUAAGCACUCCGCCUGGGGAGUACGACCGCAAGGUUGAAACUCAAAGGAAUUGACGG